CAGCAGGGGGCAGCAGAGUCAAGGGGCCCAGCGUUUGUGCGCCUGUGUGCGUGCGUGCUUGGGCACGGGCGCGCCCGCGUGUACACACGCAUGCGCUGUGAGGAGGUUAGCGUGCUUGAGGUCUAGGGGUGAGGGCGAAGUUCAAGAUGCAAGACCAUCAUGGCGCACACGAAGGAAGAAAGACCACCUUUUCAGCUGGGCUACAAGAGGCUUCUUAACAUUAAGAGUGAAAGAGGAAGCUGUUACUAUACUAAUUAAGCUGGGUAAAGGCUCACCACCAGGAGACAGGAGUGAAGUUGCUGCUGGAUUCUCAUGCAGGAUACCAGUGCAGUCAUGGUGCCAUCAUGUCUAAUUUUACCAACACUAAACUGGGAUUUGCUUUCAGUGUUCUCUGAAGUACUCCUAAAGAUUUAAAAUAUGCAAAGUAGCAGUGCUGAGGAGGAAUCUUCCCUAAGAAGCUGUUGGAAGGCUCGGCAUUUAAGCAGAUAUGCAGCAAUUUGACACAAUCUUCAGUUUUACCUCAGUAUCACCAUUAAUGAGCUAAAGCCAGUUACUUGACCUAAUUUGCCUUGACUUUCCUCAUCUGAUUAU
rnacentral:lncRNA from 1 species